ACGCUCGACACCUACGGGAGGCAGCAGUUGGGAAUAUUGGACAAUGGAGGAAACUCUGAUCCAGUGACGCCGCGUGAAGGAAGAAGGUCUUCGGAUUGUAAACUUAUUUUGUCAGGGAAGAAAAAAUGACUGUACCUGAAGAAAAAGCACCGGCUAACUACGUGCAAGCAGCCGCGGUAAUCUGAGCGGGCUGGCAAGGC
rnacentral:rRNA from 1 species